rnacentral:rRNA from 1 species
GGGGGUAGAAUUCCAGGUGUAGCGGUGAAAUGCGUAGAGAUCUGGAGGAAUACCGGUGGCGAAGGCGGCCCCCUGGACAAAGACUGACGCUCAGGUGCGAAAGCGUGGGGAGCAAACAGGAUUAGAUACCCUGGUAGUCCACGCCGUAAACGAUGUCGAUUUGGAGGUUGUGCCCUUGAGGCGUGGCUUCCGGAGCUAACGCGUUAAAUCGACCGCCUGGGGAGUACGGCCGCAAGGUUAAAACUCAAAUGAAUUGACGGGGGCCCGCACAAGCGGUGGAGCAUGUGGUUUAAUUCGAUGCAACGCGAAGAACCUUACCUGGUCUUGACAUCCACAGAACUUAGCAGAGAUGCUUUGGUGCCUUCGGGAACUGUGAGACAGGUGCUGCAUGGCUGUCGUCAGCUCGUGUUGUGAAAUGUUGGGUUAAGUCCCGCAACGAGCGCAACCCUUAUCCUUUGUUGCCAGCGGUUAGGCCGGGAACUCAAAGGAGACUGCCAGUGAUAAACUGGAGGAAGGUGGGGAUGACGUCAAGUCAUCAUGGCCCUUACGACCAGGGCUACACACGUGCUACAAUGGCAUAUACAAAGAGAAGCGACCUCGCGAGAGCAAGCGGACCUCAUAAAGUAUGUCGUAGUCCGGAUUGGAGUCUGCAACUCGACUCCAUGAAGUCGGAAUCGCUAGUAAUCGUAGAUCAGAAUGCUACGGUGAAUACGUUCCCGGGCCUUGUACACACCGCCCGUCACACCAUGGGAGUGGGUUGCAAAAGAAGUAGGUAGCUUAACCUUCGGGAGGGCGCUUACCACUUUGUGAUUCAUGACUGGGGUGAAGUCGUAACAAGGUAACCGUAGGGGAACCUGCGGUUGGAUCACCUCCUUACCUUAAAGAA